rnacentral:rRNA from 1 species
GUGAUUACAUCUUCUUAAAUCAACUUUAUUGUUUGAAUUUUAAGGUAUUGGAAAUUUUGUACUAAUUUUUUAGUACAAUUUUCUGAAAUACAUUGGUGAUCUUGUGAAAUUCCAAUUUAUAAAAAAACGUAUUAGGUUUUAUCCACUCGUUUUUAAUUAUAUUAUUGACUUUUCGCAAAUUUAUAGAUCUGUCCAAAAUUUGUUUUAUCACUUUCCACCUCAAAUCAAGUAGGACUACCCGCUGAACUUAAGCAUAUCAAUAAGCGGAGGAAAAGAAACCAACAGGGAUUGCCUUAGUAGCGGCGAGUGAAGCGGCAAAAGCUCAAAUUUGAAAUCUGGUACUUUCAGUAUCCGAGUUGUAAUUUGUAGAAGCAACUUUGGUGAUGGUCUUUGCAUAAGUUCCUUGGAAUAGGACGUCAUAGAGGGUGAGAAUCCCGUUUAUGGUGAAGAACCCACACUAUGUAAAGUGCUUUCGAAGAGUCGAGUUGUUUGGGAAUGCAGCUCAAAGUGGGUGGUAAAUUCCAUCUAAAGCUAAAUAUUGGCGAGAGACCGAUAGCGAACAAGUACUGUGAAGGAAAGAUGAAAAGAACUUUGAAAAGAGAGUGAAAAAGUACGUGAAAUUGUUGAAAGGGAAGGGAUCUAAAUCAGACAUGGUAUUUUGUGAUCAACAGUCUUUCGGGACUGUGCACUCGCAUUUUACUAGGCCAGCAUCGGUUAGAAGGGGGUAAAAAAGAUUUUGGAAUGUGGCUCCUCGGAGUGUUAUAGCCUAAGGUUAAUUGCCCCAUUUCUGACCGAGGA